UGCUAGUUGCACGAGUUUAGACUCGUAGCAGAUAGCUCAGUAACACGUGGCCAAACUACCCUAUGGAUCCGGACAACCUCGGGAAACUGAGGCUAAUCCGGAAUACGGCUCUCAGCCUGGAAGUGGCGAGAGUCAGAAACGCUCCGGCGCCAUAGGAUGUGGCUGCGGCCGAUUAGGUAGACGGUGGGGUAACGGCCCACCGUGCCCAUAAUCGGUACGGGUUGUGAGAGCAAGAGCCCGGAGACGGUAUCUGAGACAAGAUACCGGGCCCUACGGGGCGCAGCAGGCGCGAAACCUUUACACUGCACGAAAGUGCGAUAAGGGGACUCCAAGUGCGAGGGCAUAUAGUCCUCGCUUUUCACCACCGUAAGGAGGUGGUAGAAUAAGUGCUGGGCAAGACCGGUGCCAGCCGCCGCGGUAAUACCGGCAGCACGAGUGAUGACCGCUCUUAUUGGGCCUAAAGCGUCCGUAGCUGGCCACGCAAGUCUAUCGGGAAAUCCGCGCGCUCAACGCGCGGGCGUCCGGUGGAAACUGCGUGGCUUGGGACCGGAAGAUCCAGAGGGUACGUCCGGGGUAGGAGUGAAAUCCCGUAAUCCUGGACGGACCACCGGUGGCGAAAGCGCUCUGGAAAGACGGAUCCGACGGUGAGGGACGAAAGCUCGGGUCACGAACCGGAUUAGAUACCCGGGUAGUCCGAGCUGUAAACGAUGUCUGCUAGGUGUGCCACAGGCUACGAGCCUGUGGUGUGCCGUAGGGAAGCCGUGAAGCAGACCGCCUGGGAAGUACGUCCGCAAGGAUGAAACUUAA
rnacentral:rRNA from 1 species